rnacentral:misc_RNA from 1 species
GAUGAAGAACGCAGCGAAAUGCGAUACGUAAUGUGAAUUGCAGAUUUCAGUGAAUCAUCGAAUCUUUGAACGCACAUUGCGCCCUCUGGUAUUCCGGAGGGCAUGCCUGUUCGAGCGUCAUUAUCACCCCUCAAGCCCGGCUUGUUGUUGGAUGCAGCGCUUAUCCCGCUCCUCCCAAAGAUAAUGACGGCGUCUGCGACGACUCCUGUACACUGAGCUUUCGGGCACGUACACGGCUAGAAGUCCAGACCCGGUCGCCGUCCCCCCGCGGGGACACCCAUUACCACAAGGUUGACCUCGGAUCAGGUAGGAAUACCCGCUGAACUUAAGCAUAUCAAUAAGCGGAGGA